rnacentral:rRNA from 1 species
AUGUACUCCUGCGACGGCCGAGACCGCUCGGCCACGGCGGCGCGUAUCAUGGAGUCCAGCGCCAAGUACCAGCCAUGCAACACGGCGGCGACGCGGACGGCCGGCGGCCAGGUCCCCGCGGACGCGCAGCAGCAGCAGCCGUCGCCGCGGCGCGCCAGGAGGAAGCACUCGGCGUCGGCGUCGCGCCGGUCGUCAACCACCGUGGUGGCCACCGACGUGUCCAACUUCCGCGCCAUGGUGCAGGAGCUCACCGGCUUCCCGCCGGCCGCCAUCUUCAGGCCACUGCCGCGCCGGGCCCACGCCGCCGGCCGCUCCCUGGCCGCCGCCGCCGCGCAUGGGUGCGGCGGUGCGCUGCAGGGCCACCGUUCGGACGCGGCAACUGUCGCCGGCAGCGUCCCGGCAGUGGUGCAGCCGCUGGCGCACCCGCCGCAGUGCGCGCCGCCGGGCGUGUUUGACGGGCUGCCCGACCUCGGGUCGCCGGAGUUCGACACGUGGCCCGACUUGUCCUUCGAAUGA